rnacentral:rRNA from 1 species
GUAGUCCUAGCCGUAAACGGUGCACGUUUGCUGUAAGAGGAAUCGACCCCUCUUGUGGCGUAGCCAACGCGAUAAACGUGCCGCCUGGGAAGUACGGUCGCAAGAUUAAAACUCAAAGAAAUUGACGGGGGCCUGCACAAGCGGUGGAGUAUGUGGCUCAAUUCGAUGCAACGCGAAGAACCUUACCUGGCCUUGACAUGUAUGUAGUAGAAGGGUGAAAGCCUGACGACCUCGCAAGAGGAGCAUACACAGGUGCUGCAUGGCUGUCGUCAGCUCGUGUCGUGAGAUGUUGGGUUAAGUCCCGCAACGAGCGCAACCCUUGUGUCCUGUUGCCACCCCGGCGUAAACCGGGAGCACUCUGGACAGACUGCCUCGCUUAAACGAGGA